rnacentral:rRNA from 1 species
GACGAACGCUGGCGGCGUGCUUAACACAUGCAAGUCGAACGGAAAGGCCCUGCUUUUGUGGGGUGCUCGAGUGGCGAACGGGUGAGUAACACGUGAGUAACCUGCCCUUGACUUUGGGAUAACUUCAGGAAACUGGGGCUAAUACCGGAUAGGAGCUCCUGCUGCAUGGUGGGGGUUGGAAAGUUUCGGCGGUUGGGGAUGGACUCGCGGCUUAUCAGCUUGUUGGUGGGGUAGUGGCUUACCAAGGCUUUGACGGGUAGCCGGCCUGAGAGGGUGACCGGCCACAUUGGGACUGAGAUACGGCCCAGACUCCUACGGGAGGCAGCAGUGGGGAAUAUUGCACAAUGGGCGGAAGCCUGAUGCAGCAACGCCGCGUGCGGGAUGACGGCCUUCGGGUUGUAAACCGCUUUCGCCUGUGACGAAGCGUGAGUGACGGUAAUGGGUAAAGAAGCACCGGCUAACUACGUGCCAGCAGCCGCGGUGAUACGUAGGGUGCGAGCGUUGUCCGGAUUUAUUGGGCGUAAAGGGCUCGUAGGUGGUUGAUCGCGUCGGAAGUGUAAUCUUGGGGCUUAACCCUGAGCGUGCUUUCGAUACGGGUUGACUUGAGGAAGGUAGGGGAGAAUGGAAUUCCUGGUGGAGCGGUGGAAUGCGCAGAUAUCAGGAGGAACACCAGUGGCGAAGGCGGUUCUCUGGGCCUUUCCUGACGCUGAGGAGCGAAAGCGUGGGGAGCGAACAGGCUUAGAUACCCUGGUAGUCCACGCUGUAAACGGUGGGUACUAGGUGUGGGGUCCAUUCCACGGGUUCCGUGCCGUAGCUAACGCUUUAAGUACCCCGCCUGGGGAGUACGGCCGCAAGGCUAAGACUCAAAGGAAUUGACGGGGCCCCGCACAAGCGGCGGAGCAUGCGGAUUAAUUCGAUGCAACGCGUAGAACCUUACCUGGGUUUGACAUGGAUCGGGAGUGCUCAGAGAUGGGUGUGCCUCUUUUGGGGUCGGUUCACAGGUGGUGCAUGCCUGUCGUCAGCUCGUGUCGUGAGAUGUUGGGUUAAGUCCCGCAACGAGCGCAACCCUUGUUCACUGUUGCCAGCACGUUAUGGUGGGGACUCAGUGGAGACCGCCGGGGUCAACUCGGAGGAAGGUGGGGAUGACGUCAAGUCAUCAUGCCCCUUAUGUCCAGGGCUUCACGCAUGCUACAAUGGCUGGUACAGAGAGUGGCGAGCCUGUGAGGGUGAGCGAAUCUCGGAAAGCCGGUCUCAGUUCGGAUUGGGGUCUGCAACUCGACCUCAUGAAGUCGGAGUCGCUAGUAAUCGCAGAUCAGCAACGCUGCGGUGAAUACGUUCCCGGG